UCAUUUUUUUUCCAGCUUUCCAUUUCGGAAGCCGAUUCUCUCUCUCCCUCACGAGCCGAGGACGACGAAAACAGAGCACGAAGCUCCGGCCACCUUUCUCCACCCACCGGCCACCGUUCGACGCCGGACCACCUCCAGAAGCUUCGCCUCCCUCCCCCGAACCCAUCUGUGGCCACCUUGCACGGCGGAACGGCCCCUAGCGGCGGCGGCGGCCCGGUUUCGAUUAAAGCUUAAUUUUGGUCAACGCCGGUUUUCUCCUAGCUCCGGCCACUAAAACUUCCGAUCCUUGGCUCCAUGAACUCCCCUCAACCUUCUGAUCAUCAUACUAGGAGGAUUGCACCUAGAGUGACCGGUUUCACGUUCGUCGGAGCUCGUGGGUUCGCCUUGAUGUUCUUAAUAACUAUCUAGAAGGAAUCAAGGCCUGAAAUUGAAGUUUUUACGUCGAAAAUCGAGCUCGCCGGUUUCUGCAUUUCUUCGCCGGUUUCUGGAAAUUUUCCGGCCACAUUCAUACUGUUCAAGGUGAUUGACGGUCUUUCUUGGUGAGCGGUUUUGGCGUGUUUUUGUAAAAUUGAAGACGCAGCGGGAUUAGAGCGGGUAAUCUCACAGGUCAGGAGAAUCAGGGCAGUGAUCGUGCAGUUUAGAGAAUUAGUAUUAGAUUUACAGUAUUUGUUUUGUGAGGAGAAUUAUACUCAUUGAGUUUUACAAUUCGAUUUGGUGAGAGUGUGCUGUAAUAAGUAGCUUGAGGAUUUGGUUUAUGUAAUAUUAAGAGGUGUAACUAGUGGUUGUUUCUGAGAGAAAAAAAUUCAGAACGUUA